GUCGCUAAGAUCACGUCCAAAUGAGGACUUUAGCAGCUUUGAGAAGCAAAUUACAAGGGCUAUAAAGCAAAUAAGAGGAACAAAGGUAAUGUCAGUAAGAAAAGCAACGAAAUUGUCAAAAUAUUCAGAGACCCUCGUUGUCCGGUGUCCAUCAGUAUUGCAACUUUUGCAAAGAAGAUAGUCUCGGCUAAAGAUCAUUUUGCAGGCAGCUACGUCAUCGUU